UAUCCGGAAUUACUGGGCGUAAAGAGUUGCGUAGGUGGCAUGUAAAGCGAACAGUGAAAGGCUACGGCUCAACCGUAGAUACAUUGUUCGAACUCACAAGCUAGAGCACAGUAGAGGUACCUGGAAUUCCCAGUGUAGGAGUGAAAUCCGUAGAUAUUGGGAGGAACACCGAUGGCGUAGGCAGGGUACUGGGCUGUUGCUGACACUAAGGCACGAAAGCGUGGGGAGCGAACGGGAUUAGAUACCCCGGUAGUCCACGCCGUAAACUAUGGAUGCUAGCUGUUAUUGGUAUCGACCCCAGUAGUAGCGAAGCUAACGCGUUAAGCAUCCCGCCUGUGGAGUACGAGCGCAAGCUUAAAACAUAAAGGAAUUGACGGGGACCCGCACAAGCGGUGGAGCGUGUUGUUUAAUUCGACGGUAAACGAAGAACCUUACCCAGGCUUGACAUCCUGCCAAGUUUUCCGAAAGGAAAAUGUGCCCUCGGGCCGCAGUGACAGGUGAUGCAUGGCCGUCGUCAGCUCGUGUCGUGAGAUGUUUGGUUAAGUCCAUCAACGAGCGCAACCCUUAUAGUUAGUUGAAUUUUUCUAGCUAGACUGCCCCGGUAACGGGGAGGAAGGAGGGGACGAUGUCAGGUCAUUAUUUCCCUUACGUCUGGGGCUACAAACACGCUACAAUGGCCGGUACAAAGGGCAGCCAACCCGCGAGGGGGAGCAAAUCCCAUCAAAGCCGGUCUCAGUUCGGAUUGCAGGCUGAAACUCGCCUGCAUGAAGCUGGAAUCGCUAGUAACGGUAGGUCAGCUAUACUACCGUGAAUACGUUCCCGGGUCUUGUACACACCGCCCGUCAAACCAUGAAAGUCGCCAAUACCUGACGUGCCAGCUUGCCUGGUCCUAAGGUAGGGGAGAUGAUUGGGGUUAAGUCGUAACAAGGUAUCCGUACCGGAAGGUGCGGAUG
rnacentral:rRNA from 1 species